AACAAUCUUUUUUUUUUAUCUUUAAUUGUUACACCCAAAUGGUCAGUUUGUUUCUCUACUUUUAUUUCUCUUAUUUCUUGCAGUUUUUUCUUCAUUUUAAAUAUUGUUACACCAGUGGGUGUGCUUGCGUGUUUGUUUGUGUUGUAUGUGUGUGAUUGCAUGUGUAAUGUGAUGAAAUCGUGCGUAGCAUGAUGCAAUGUUAACUUGAAUGGUGCAACAGUUGGAGGGUGAGCGAUGCAGGGCGUAUGGGGAGACGAGACGAGAGAGGGAUGAUGGCGUGCGCUGCGGGGCAGAUGAGGGCGAGUUGCGAGAGAGACGCGCUGCGGCGCGGUUGAGGCGUGACUGCUGGGUUGGAGUGGGGGUGCGUGGACAGGUGCCCUUGCUUCCGGAGGUUUUCGAGCUUGGCUGCGCGGGGGUAGUUACAGCCGAGCGAGGGCACCCUGCCCCGAGGGUGGAGGCCAGGAUCUGUUGUCGACUAUCCAGAGCGUUGCAUGGAGCAGAAGGCGUGGAAGAGCCCACUGAGGACUUGCGGCUGGUCGAGUGGCUGACGGGCGGAGCCCCUUGGGGGCGCGGGAGGAGCUGGUUGCGGUGCUGGUGGCUGACCUCUUCGACGAGGCUCAUGAGGAAACCGCUGGUGCCAAGCUGGGCACCUGUGAGAAGGGUGGGAGCCCCAGCAGCAGCGAAGAGGACGUGACAGAGGUCGACCGAGACGCGGACGAGCGCUUGUAGGAUGCGGGCGAUGCGGCGGACGCCAGUGGUGACCCUCAACCAGGAUUUGGGGCUGGAGACGCCCCUAUGGGUGCCACCGCCUGCAUGCCGCCCUCCGCACCUCCAUACCAGCGACCUUGGCAGGAGCGGCUAAGACCGGGUUGGAUGAGAGACUUCUGCGAUGUUCCAGAGGACUAAUUAAUUUUCUUUAUUUCAUGUGUUUUCUAUUUUGUAUGUUGGGGCAGCCGGGUCGACUGCCUUUGAAGGGGGGGAGGGGGGAUAGUGUUACACCAGUGGGUGUGCUUGGGUGUUUGUUUGUGUUGUAUGUGUGUGAUUGCAUGUGUAAUGUGAUGAAAUCGUGGGUAGCAUGAUGCAAAGUUAACUUAUAAUGGUGCAACAGUUGGAGGGUGAGCGAUGCAGGGGGUAUGGGGAGACGAGAUGAGAGAGGGGUGACGGCGUGCGCUGCGGGACAGUUGAGGCCACUUGAGGGAGAGUUGCGAGAGAGACGCGCUGCGGGGCGGUUGAGGCGUGACUGCUGAGUUGGAGUGGUCGGUGUUUAUGCUUCGGAGAGCUGUGUGCGUGACUGUCGUGCCCCUGAGUGCCCCUUUAGAUGUACCGUGCCCUGUGGACUUCAGUGUACGUGUUUGGAGCUUGAGAGUAAAGUAGGAAACCUGU